rnacentral:rRNA from 1 species
GGUGUAUAGUUAAUAGCAUUACACUGUGACGUUAGCUACAGAAGAAGCACCGGCAAACUCCGUGCCAGCAGCCGCGGUAAGUACGGAGGGUGCGAGCGUUAAUCGGAAUUACUGGGCGUAAAGCGCGCGUAGGCGGUUAUUUAAGUGAGGUGUGAAAUACCCUGGGCUCAACCUAGGAACUGCAUUUCAAACUGGAUAACUUGAGUAUGUCAGAGGGUAGUUGGAAUUUCCCCGUGUAGCAGUGAAAAUGCGUAGAUAUGGGAAGGAACAUCAGUGGCGAAGGCGAAUACCUGGGAUAAUACUGACGCUGAGGUGCGAAAGCGUGGGGGAGCAAACGGGAUUAGAUACCCCUGGUAG